rnacentral:rRNA from 1 species
AUUGAACGCUGGCGGCAGGCCUAACACAUGCAAGUCGAACGGUAACAGGAAGAUGCUUGCUUCAUUGAUGACGAGUGGCGGACGGGAGGGUUAUGUCUGUGAAACGUCCUGAGGGAGGGGGAUAGCUACUGGAAACGGUAGCUACUACCGCAUAAUGUCGGAAAGCCAAGGAGGGGGACCUUCGGGCCUCUCACCAUCGGCUAGGCCCAGAUGGGUAUAGCUAGUAGGUGGGGUAACGGCUCACCUAGGCGACGAUCCGUAGCUGGUCUGAGAGGAUGAUCAGUCACACUGGAACUGAGACACGGUCCAGACUCCUACGGGAGGCAGCAGUGGGGAAUAUUGGACAAUGGGCGAAAGCCUGAUGCAGCUAUGCCGCGUGUAUGAAGAAGGUCUUCGGGUUGUAAAGUACUUUAAGCUGGGAGGAAGGGAGUUAAGUUAAUACCUUGCUUUAUUGACGUUACCAGCAGAAGAAGCACCGGCUAACUCCGUG